rnacentral:rRNA from 1 species
GACGAACGCUGGCGGCGUGCUUAACACAUGCAAGUCGAGCGAUGAAGUUCCUUCGGGAAUGGAUUAGCGGCGGACGGGUGAGUAACACGUGGGUAACCUGCCUCAUAGAGGGGAAUAGCCUUCCGAAAGGAAGAUUAAUACCGCAUAAGAUUGUAGUAUCGCAUGAUAUAGCAAUUAAAGGAGUAAUCCGCUAUGAGAUGGACCCGCGUCGAAUUAGCUAGUUGGUGAGGUAACGGCCCACCAAGGCGACGAUGCGUAGCCGACCUGAGAGGGUGAUCGGCCACAUUGGGACUGAGACACGGCCCAGACUCCUACGGGAGGCAGCAGUGGGGAAUAUUGCACAAUGGGAGAAACCCUGAUGCAGCAACGCCGCGUGAGUGAUGACGGUCUUCGGAUUGUAAAGCUCUGUCUUCAGGGGCGAUAAUGACGGUACCUGAGGAGGAAGCCACGGCUAACUACGUGCCAGCCGCCGCAGUAA